AGUAAUGCUUGGGAAUCUAGCUUAUGGAGGGGGAUAACUAUGGGAAACUGUAGCUAAUACCGCGUAGAAUCGGGAGAUGAAAGUGUGGGACCUUCGGGCCACAUGCCAUAGGAUGAGCCCAGUGGGAUUAGGUAGUUGGUGAGGUAAAGGCUCACCAAGCCGACGAUCUCUAGCUGGUCUGAGAGGAUGACCAGCCACACUGGGACUGAGACACGGCCCAG
rnacentral:rRNA from 1 species